UGGAGCAGCAAGGGAUGGACGUGGGGACCUGAGCCCUCCCUGCGCUGAUGGGACACCAGGACUGGGAUUUCACAUGUCCUGCCUGUGACCUACUCAGCGCUAUGUUUAAGCUGAGCAUCUCCCUGGGCCAGGUUAAGGAAGGUGUGACUGAUUUCAAAGCCCUCCGAGCAAAAUUUCAAAAUGACUCUGACUUGGCUAACAAGCUGGCGCAACCACUCAAGAAGCCUUCCACUGAGAUCACGUCCAAGCUGGGCUCUGGAGGGAAUGCUCUGUCCAGUCCUCCGCCCCCGAGUAAGAGAGGUGUGAAAAUAAUAAAACCUGCCCAUCCUGCCUCCCAACCCUCUGUGCUCACCCAACACAGCCCCUUAGCAUGGCCUCGAGCCAAGCUGGGUUACGUGGAGCCAAUGGGGGACAACAAAGAGCACGAGGGCAACAUCUCAGGGAAAGGGCUGAGUUCUCCCCAGAACAGUUCAGAAAAGCCUCUGUUGUCGUGUAGCACUGAUCAGCAAGGAUCAGGCCAAACAGCUCCAGUGGACCCUCAGCUCCCAGAUUCCUUCCACCACAUCCUACAGAUCUGGGAAGAGACUUUAUGCUGCAAUGAGAAAGCAAGUGCAAAACUCCCAAUGCAACGGGCAGCAAACUUAGACAUGCACCCUUGUCCGAAGCAGAGGGUGACACGUGCUCCUGUUCCAUGGGACAGUGACAGGAUGCAAUCCUCUGGAAACAAGGCUGUGCUGGACUGGCAUGCCAAGAAGAAGGAUGCUCUGCAUGGCAGUGGGACAGCUCUUCCCCAGGCUCCCAGAGGACACAGGAACUCUGAUGCGGCAGGUGCUGAGGGCGCGGUGGCAACUGCAUUCUGCCAGGCAGGUUAUCGUCCACCAAGAGAGAAACCUCAGCACCAGAAAGAAUUGGAGCCUCCCUUCUGCCAGCCCAGAGCAGGAAAACGGUCUUACAGCCCCAGGAACAAGUGGCCAAGAAUUAAACCUCUCCCUUCAGCUGAAUCCCUGGGUCCUGCCCCUGGGAAGCCUCCAAGACCCCCAAAGUUUGACCUCGGUGCUUUCCGAAGCAUCCUGCCUUUGGUCCACAGAGGAAAUGAAACAACUGCUGGUGAAGAGGAUUACUUGAGCCCUGAAAGUGCUCAACUUGAAGAGCAGAAUAAUUAUGAAGAAACCCCGAUGUACCUGAAUCAGUCUGGGGACACCACAACCUUGUGUGUCAUUGAAGGUACUUUUCAAGUACCUAAGACAGAGCCUCAGGAGCACAAGAAACGGAAGAUUUUUCCUUUUGCCAAAUACAGUUCUGAAAGAGCUACAGUAGAGGAUGAAAAAGAGGGGAAACCAAGUCAUGAAAGAGAGAAACUGGAAGUGAAAAAAAUUUUCAAGACAGGUGGAAAUGAAUACAUGUCUCCCAGUAGUCAAACCAAGAAAGAUGGCAGAGAUGGGAUGAAGGUCCUGCAAGGGAAGCAGGAUGUGACCAGUACCCUGCCUGCAAAGUAUCCUACCCUACAAGGGCUGGCAAAAGACAGACCCGAGCUCUUGCACAGCAUGGAUGUUGGUGCUCCAAAGCCAGGGAUAGAAAGAACAGCCUUGAACCAAAACACUUGGCAGCCUCUGCAGGCACCAGAAGAUAUAUACGAUGAUAUUGCGGAAUUGCAAGAUGGACUCAGCUACGGGUCAAAUGCCUCAAGUUCCUUCACUUCAGACAGCUUUUCAGGAAACAGCUACGAGGAAACAUAUGAAGAUGUUGAGAUUGGAGGUGAUAAUCCAGCAAAACCAGAAACAGAAAAACAGAAGAGAUUUGGAAACCUGUUUAAGAUAGAAAAGUUGAAGCUGAAUAAUUUCAGGCUCAAGGAAAACCUAAGAUUGGUUUCCAUUUCGGUACCAAAUUUAGCAUCUGUAUCCCAGGAGGACCAGGUGUAUGACGAUAUCGAGGUGGGGCAGAGAGAGCCCAGAGAGAAGGAUGACAAGUACAAAAUCCGGAUGCCAAAACUUCGGGUGCCGAAAGAGUAUAAAGACAAAAGGAAAAGCAUCGCCGAUGUGGAAAGAAAUAUCUUCAAAUUCAAGAAGAGCAGUGAAGAAAAAAGCAGGAAGAGAGAAAAAGAAGAGAAGUUCUUUAGAGAAACAUUUGUGUAUGAUAAGGAGAUCAAUGUCAUCAACACAGCCAUUGCUGAGUGCUCAGUCUCCAGUGAGAGGAGAGUGGAUCUCCCUGUCACAGCUGGAGAACAGCUGGAUGUUAUUGAUGUCACGGAGGGCCACGCAGUGAUCUGCCGAAAUUCAGAGGGCAGAUAUGGGUACGUUCUAGUGGAGCACUUGAACUUCAGACAGUACUGACUUCCCUGAGAGCUGGUCUACCCUGAACCAUCCCUGAAAGUUUCCUUUGUGCUUCCUGCAUCCAGGAGAGCCCACCUUGGUCAACUGUGGAGUGAUGAUGCCCAUCCUCGCUGGUACAUCCUAACCACAUCAAACCUUAAAAUAAUUCUCAUGCGAGUUUUAAACCCUGUUCCUCUGUGUUUCUCUUCAAAAAGGAAAUCAUCAUGAUAACAGUUGUUGAUUUGCUGAGUUUGAGGGAGAAUUGAAAUUUUUUAGAGGGCAAUUCUGUAUCACAGAAAUUGUGUAAAAAGGAGAGCGUGGAUAAGGACAAAACUGGGGCAUUCAC